CGGCGUCCUGCUCAGCGUCACCUUCAUCAGCACCGCCACCAACGCGUUCGUAUUAUUUUUUACUACCGACGUGGUGCCCCGGACGAUAUACACGUUCGAGUUCGGGCGGGGCCUCGACGGAUUUCUAAACAGCACUCUAUCAAGUACGAUGAUCCUGCGGGACGCCUUUUUCAUAUAUGACAUCCAUAUAUUCAGCGAUCUCCACAAGGGACAUCCAAUAGACACAACAAACAAAAUCCAUCGAUAUCCGCGAAAAACAACGCAACAGUGGCGGCUCGCACAAUAAAAAUGGGGGGUUGGAGGCGCGGCUAAGAAUUAGGGUUCGCAACGGCACACCAACCGCUCUACCAGAGAAUCCCGAACAAACAAGAAAUCUGCUUUUACCGCGGUCACUAUUACCCGCCCGAGGCGCCCCUGGCCUACCAACUGACGUUCAGCUUUUGGAAAGAUUUGGUUUU